ensembl:lncRNA
UUAUGUCCAAUUUGCCAGUACUGCAGUUUGUGUGUAGUGAGGUGUUUUCAUGGUGUUUUAUUGGUGCUUUUACUAAAGGAAGGCUUCUAUCAAAUUCUUCCAAAUGUUGUCAAACUGAGCUGUGUGAUGAAGUGAGUGUGACAGAAACACUCAGACUGUGUUUCUCUGCUUCAUCAAGUCAAAUCUGGUCCUCAGAGACUGAAUAAAGUCCUGUCCCACUAACAGCAGCUCCAACAGUCUGUUCACUGCUUUCUUCCUGUCAGUCUUCAUCUUUCUGCUGCGUCUCCUCUUCACACUGACCACUUUCUAUCUAACAGUGAGCUCCCAGUGAAGCAGCAGCAUUCAGCCUGUUAGAGUCAACACAAAUGUCUCCAUCCAAGCUCAUGUUGUGCUUUGUUGUCCUCUCAGUCCCCCAGGUGGAGGUGGAUUCAGGGGUGGAGUCUGUCCAGCUGCCCUUCAACACCACACUUCACCUGCCUGAAGACGCUAAAGUGGAGUGGAAGAAUAAUUACGAUACAAAAGUCCACAUGUAUGAGAACGGCUCUGACCAGCCUGAAGAACAGCACCAGUUUUACAGAGACCGAACGAAGAUGAAUGAAGACCUGCUGAAAACUGGAGACCUCAGUCUGACCCUGAAACACCCCACAGAAACAAAGACCUACACCUGCACCGUCUACAGCAGGGAGGGAAACAUCCUGCUGAAGAGAAAGGUGGAGCUGAAAGUCAGAGUCUGUCAGGUGGAGGUGGAGGAGGGGGCGGAGUCUGUCCAGCUGCCCUUCAGAACCACACAAAACCUGCCUGAAGAUGCUGAAGUGGAGUGGGAACGUGAAGAACCUGAACCAUCACUGAUGGUCCACCUGUAUAUGAACGGCUCUGACCAGCCUCACAGUCAGGACCAGGUUUACAGAGACCGAACGAAGAUGAAUGAAGACCUGCUGAAAACUGGCGACCUCAGUCUGACCCUGAAACACCCCACAGAGAGAGACAGUGGAGAAUACAGAUGUGACCUUGACAGUGGGAACAUUUGGAGAUACAAAAAAGUGCUGCUCAAAGUCAAAGGUUUGUUUGAUUAUUUCUCUGUGUGUGUGUGUGUCUGUGUGUGUGUGUGUGUGUGUGUGUGUGUGUGUGUCUGUCUGACUGUCUUGUGUCUCCUCUGCAGGGAGAGUUCAGGUCCAGGAUCAAACAGGGGACAUCAGGAACAGAAGCAGCUCCAUUGAUCCGACUCCUCUGAUGGCUGAUCAAUCAGUUUGAUCUGUGUGUUCUUUGAUUAUUGAUCAGUGAUGUCAGAGUGGAGUCAGUGUGAUGUUGUUGUUGUGUGUUUGAGACUUUUAGUGUCCAUGAAGGUCUCUGCUGCCGUAGAUCCUCUGAACUGUGACAGAGGUCUCACUCUGGAGGAAACUCUCAGCACUUUCCAGCAGCUCCUCCAUCAUGGAGGACGUUCCCUCACUGUAACAGGUGGAGGAGAGAGGAGAGGAAGCACAGGUGGAUCCUCUGAGGAAGAGGAGCGUUCCUACAAACCACAUGAUCACAUGACCAGAGGGGCGUGGCCUUCAGUGGUAGUAAUAAAGGAACAGUCCACAUGUUCCACUUUGAAGGCUCAUCUCCAACAAAGCAGACCUGUGAUCACUUUAACUCAGUAUGAUGGAUUGUUUGGAUUUGUCUUUGUUUCUCUGGCUUUUCUUGUGUGUCUGUGUGUCUUUGUAUGUUGGAUAGAGUCAUGUGACCUGCCCAGGGACUACACAUGGAAAUGAGCAGUUUAGCUCAAAUCUGGCAGGUUUCCAUCUUCUGUUUUUAUCCUGAUGUCCAUGAACAUGAACUCUGUCCCUGUCAAAUAAAUCCAGAUACAAAGAUCAGAUCUACUGAGCAUCAUCAGCGUGUCAGCCGCUAACUGCAUCUUCAAAUAAAUAAAUGUGUCUGAUCAGCGGUGAUAAGAGGAGAGACGCUGAGCGAGUGACAUGAAAAAGACCUUCAUUUAUCUGAAUUUCAGAGUUUUUAAUGAAUUACUGCAUAAACACUUAAAUUACUGUCUGAGCUGCUGCAGUUUACUUCUGCAUCCACUGGGUGUCAGUAAAGCUGCAGGUGCCUCACCUGGUGUCCAACUGUGGGGAAACAGUCCAGCUGCUAACACCACCUAAAGGUCAAAGUUAAUUCAGGGUGCAGUUUUGGCUCCAACACAUUCCAUGCUCGGUGUCCACUUUAUUAGGAACCUAUUCCUGCUGUAAAGCUGAAGAUUAUGUAAAAAUAUGACGAAUGAAAAUAAAAACCUUCUGAUCAACUAAUGUAGAACAAAUCAGUGAAUAAGAGACACUCAUAUCAUGCUGAUAUUCAACCAAUACCAACACUGCUGUCAGUACUAUUGAUCCAUGGCUUGAUACAGCCACUCAUAUCCUGGACCUGAACAAGCUUUAUAGAGGAGCUGGUGAUCACAGUGAGUAAAGUUGCAGCUACAAUGGCAGUGGACAAAUAACAGUUAUUAAUUUUCACAACACAUAAAAGGUAAUAACUGUUUGAAAAAUGUCUUUUUUCCUCCUUCCUCUGAUUAUUGUUUCAUGGAUGUUAUCAGUUACUGUUCUGAUGAGUUCACAGCAAACAUGAAGCAAAGGUCCUCCUCGUCAGUCGUGCCACUAAUGGAAUAUUCUCUCCGAACAGCCAACAGGACAAGGAGGACUCCAACCGACAGCUGGAAUCAAGUUCCACAAACAUCUUUUCACUUCUUACAACUUACAUCUCUGUCUCUGUUUGUUAUUUUUUUGCACUAAAAUGUUCAAUGAUCACACUGUUUUAGCCCAAUGUACAAAAUAAUUUUGGCUAAGGUUACUCACUUAAAGGUCAAGUUGGUCAAACAACCUUUUAUGUUUAUGUGUUAUUUUUUAAGAAGAAAAACUCCACUUUAUGUUGAAAUUUUUAUUGUUAUUAUUUAAAGGCAAUAUCAUUUUUAAAAUGUACUUAAAGCACUUAAAAUAGCACUUUAUUUUUAAGUCUGCCCAAUUUUCACCAGAAAUAUUAUUUUUGUUUCUCUGUUUUGAAUUGAAAUGCCAUUUAAAUGCUUUUUUAAGGAAAUUUUAACAAUAACCUGCAACACACCCCUCAUGAGCAUUAUUUGAAGUGGGUUUAAUAAACACAAAACAAUGUGGAGAGAAAUAUCCCAGCCAAACAUGAUCUCUGCCCAACAGCCGCCGCCCUGGCAUCUUAUAUACACACACACAGAAAGAAAGACCUUGUUUUCUGCUUAGCAGUCACCUAGAGAUUUACGUCCCUGAUAAGCAGGAGUCUCACUAUCUGUUUAAGUCUAAGGAGCAUGGAAAGAAAAAAGCGCAUGGACUUCCUUAAGUCGCUUAAAGACGUUUCACCUCUCAUCCAAGAAGCUUCUGCAGUUCUAGGGUCAAAUGGUGGUGAGUCCGAGAAAACGGGUGUAGGUCACAAUCAGCCAAGGUACCUUGGCUGAUAUAAUGUAAUAUAAAUGUUUUACAUGUGCUGCUGUUGUGUUGAUGGUGCAGAGAUGCUGCAAAGAGUGCUUGUGAUAUCGAGCACAAAGAUGUCUCCGUGCUUCAAGAUUCAAAGUGUUUAUUGUCAUGUGUCACAAGAGAAAAGGCAUUUCUUUGUGCAAUGAAAUCCUUUCUUUGCUGUCUGCCCACAGAUGCCAAUUAAUAUAUACAAUAGAAAUAGAACAUAUAAAUACAAAUAGUACAAAUAAAUAGCUGAAGAGAGAAAAGGAGACAAAAUAUGGAGAUUUGAAACAGAUGUGUGCAAAAGACCUAUAGCUUAAUAUGCUGGCUUAAUAUGUAAGAUGACCUGAUGUGCAACAAAAAUUAUUAUUACUGUUCAAAAUAGGUCAGCUGUUCAAGAGUCUGAUGGCAGUGGGGAAGAAGGAGUUAGUGAGUCUGGAUGUUCUGGAUUUCAGA